AUACGGAGGGUGCAAGCGUUAUUCGGAAUCACUGGGCGUAAAGGACGCGUAGGCGGGUUGGCAAGUCAGAUGUGAAAUCCUACAGCUUAACUGUAGAACUGCAUUUGAAACUGCCGACCUAGAGUAUGGGAGGGGGAGAUGGAAUUAGUGGUGUAGGGGUAAAAUCCGUAGAUAUCACUAGGAAUACCGAAAGCGAAGGCGAUCUCCUGGAACAUAACUGACGCUAAGGCGUGAAAGCGUGGGGAGCAAACAGGAUUAGAAACCCCAGUAGUCC
rnacentral:rRNA from 1 species